CUGCAGGGGUGAUGUCUUUGAACUCUGUCAGCAAUUCUUUGAACUCCUCGGGCACCUGUUGCAGGAUAGGCAUCUCCGACCCCUUAACAACCAACACCAUAACCUCUUCAGCCCCCUUGAGUUCCGCCAUGAACUGCGCACCAGAAACUACAAGGAAAGACUUACCCUCCACUUGAGAAGUUUUGGGGGUAGGCUUCUCUUUCAUAGGCACCAACAGAAUUUUCCUACCCUGCCAUCGGAACAAGUAUGUGUUGUCUCGGCCCCUGAAUGUAACAUCUGUGUCAUGCUGCCAUGAACGCCCGAGUAGAACAUGACAUGCAUCCAUAUCCACCACAUUGCAUACCACUUCAUCCUUGUAGUACCUCCCGA
rnacentral:lncRNA from 1 species